UGAGGAAUAUUGGUCAAUGGGCGCAAGCCUGAACCAGCCAAGUCGCGUGAAGGAAGACGGCCCUAUGGGUUGUAAACUUCUUUAGGGUGGGAACAAAGGACGCCACGCGUGGCGAGAUGAGUGUACCACCAGAAUAAGCAUCGGCUAACUCCGUGCCAGCAGCCGCGGUAAUACGGAGGAUGCGAGCGUUAUCCGGAUUCAUUGGGUUUAAAGGGUGCGUAGGCGGCUUUGCAAGUCAGCGGUGAAAGGCCCGGGCUCAACCCGGAAAGUGCCGUUGAUACUGUGAGGCUGGAAUGCGGAUGCUGUGGGAGGAAUGAGUGGUGUAGCGGUGAAAUGCGUAGAUAUCACUCAGAACACCGAUUGCGAAGGCAUCUCACAAAUCCGCAAUUGACGCUGAGGCACGAAAGCGUGGGGAUCGAACAGGAUUAGAUACCCUGGUAGU
rnacentral:rRNA from 1 species